UACGUAGGGGGCAAGCGUUGUCCGGAUUUAUUGGGCGUAAAGAGCGUGUAGGCGGCUUGGUAGGUCCGCUGUGAAAACUCGAGGCUCAACCUCGAGAUGUCGGCGGAAACCACUUGGCUAGAGUCCGGAAGAGGAGAGUGGAAUUCCUGGUGUAGCGGUGAAAUGCGCAGAUAUCAGGAAGAACACCUAUGGCGAAGGCAGCUCUCUGGGACGGUACUGACGCUGAGGUGCGAAAGCGUGGGGAGCGAACGGG
rnacentral:rRNA from 1 species